UAUAGGGAUGAAAGAGUGAAGAUGCUGGUUAACUCUUGCAUAAGGGGUUUGGACAGUAUAGGGAUGAAAGAGUGAAGAUGCUGGUUAACUCUGGGUACAGUCUCCAUAAUACAUGAGAUGGUCUGAUUAGAUUCUUGUGCUCCAGAGGUAAGUUUAAAAGAUUUCCCUCCAGGUUCACCAAAAACAGAAUAUGGAUCUCCCUGACAUACUCCUGCACCCAAUCCCUCCAUUUCACAAAGCAUUCCCACCCUCUGUCUCACUCACCUACACCCUCCUGGUCAUCCAACUCUCCUCCAUUUGCUCCAUGGGGCCAAACCGCUUCAAAGUCCAUCCCGUCACCCGUGUGCUGAGACAUUCCAAAACACACAUUCAUUACUCAUUCCAUCCAUUCUCCUCACACCACAAACACUCCUCAAGUAACGCCUGCCUGCACGCUUGACCUCUGACCUUCAUUUGCAUAUGUGGGGGUUGGUACAAUUAACUUAUUUUAUUUUUGUUGUGUUAUCAGGAAAUGUGUUUAGAAAAGUCGUUCAUUUCCUGUUAUGUUCAUGUAAGGAACUAUAUUUUAGAAGUAAAGGGAUAUAACAGUUUUGACUCCCAGCAAAUUAGAGCUUUUAAUAUGUUCAGUAAUGACAACGUUUUGUACUUAAAUUUGACAAGACAUUUUCCCGGUCGGUAACUCUCGAUUUACGCGUUUUUGAAAUACCGUGUGGUCCAAAAUCCAAAUAAAUGUCUAAUUAACA